ACUGUGAGUUCAGCAAAUGGAGGCGCUUGGAAAAGGCUGGGACGCAGGCAGAGGAACGGAUUUCCUGGCCUACGAACACCCUGGCUCUUGUUUCGCGGGUGGGGUGGGGGUGGGGUGCUUUUUUUUCUUAAAGCAAAUACGUACAGGUCAUUUACUGGGUGUCAGGCCCUGCAGGAGUGAUUGAGUGGGUGAGCAGGAACUCCAGGUCCUGUCCGGGUCACUCUGACCUCAAUAGCAGUGAGGGAUUUUUUAAGGCAGCAACAGGAUUUCUGGUGUCCAGUGCUUGAAAACUCAAGGGAAGAAAGCCCCCAGCUCUCAAACCAAGCAAGGAUCUUUGUCUCUAGGCUAACAGAACAUGUGGUUCCAACAUCUGGGGUUUGUAGCCUGCAAAAAUCUAAUCAUGAAGACAGAGAGAUUGUCACAAAUUCCCAUAACGCACUUUGGGUAUCUCGGCUCUUGGCCUGUUUGGAGCAGAUCAGCACUACCAGGAGUGAUGGCCCUCAGUGGUUAGUGGAGCCACUAACUAUUAAGAGAACCAAUUUAAACAGCUGGAAACAAUAAGCAUAGGAGGAGAAGAAGACACGCGGAGGACUGAUAUUGCUCCACAGGGGCCGGUGGCAGCCUGUGCAUACAGAAGUAGUUCACGCUCCCCAAGAUGAUGGAAGAGGUGCUGAACACCUCAAGGAGCUCCCUGUGCACUCUGCCACAGACAGCCUGUAGCUCCCCUGCCUCACACCCACAAGGCGCCAAAGGCAUUGUCUCUGCACGGCCAGGGGUUUUUGCAGAGCCUCUGGGCAUCCUGGGAAUGACACUAAGAACAGCAUCCAGAGAGACACCCACCUACCAGGCAAGGGGUGGGGCUCUACAGUGAAAGAUGGACCUAAGGAAUCAAUGGAGAUACACAGGCCAGCUACCAGCACAGAGAGCAGCAGGCGCUAGGUGGGAAUGUGGCUUUGUGCCUCAGCACUUGCAGAGGGAAGGACUCUAUCCCUGCCAUGGCACUGUUUCUCAAAGUCAGAUGCUAGAAGCUGACUGCCCAUGUAGCAAUGCUGAGUCCGGGCCUAAUAAGAAGUGAUUGGGUCAUGAGGACCAGGUCUUCAUGAAUGGAGAAUGUGGUGGUUUGAAUAUGCUUGGCCCAUGGGAAGGGGAGCCAUUAAGAGGGGGUGGUCUUGUUACAGGAAGUGUGUCAUUGUGUAGGCGGGCUUCAAGGUCCUAUGUUCAAGCUCUGCCUAGUGUGGAAAGGAGAGCCUCCUCCUGGCUGUCUGCCAAUUAAGAGGCUGUUCCUCCAGUACCAUGUCUGCCUAAACGAUGCCGUGUUUCCUGCCAUGAUGAUAAUAGACUGAACUUUUGAAACUGUAAGCCAGACCCAAUUAAAUGUUUGCCUUCAUAAGAGCUGCUGUGGUCAUGAUGCCUCUUCACAGCAAUAAAACCCUAAGACAGAGAAUGUCCUAAAUUUAGGGGCGAGUAAUCCAGUUAUAAAGCAGUGGGGGCAGGACAGGGCACUAGAGAGAUGGCUCAGCAGUUAAGACCACUUGCUGAGAGGUCAGUCUGCAGCACUCACAAGGGGCUCACAACCAUCUGAAUUUCCAGUUCCAAGGAAGCCUUCUUGCCUCCAUAGGCAUCAGGUAUGCCUGUAGUGCACAGACAUGCAGGCAGGCAAAAUCCCAUACACAUAAAUAUAUAUUUUUAAAAUAUAAUGAAAUCAAGGAAGAGCUGACCACCCCUGGAGGAAAUGGCCAAUUUUGUUGUAAAGCAAUACAGAGGAUCCUUCCUGCCCUCCACUACCAAGGCUCUGGGUAUCAAGGUAUAGUAAGGGCCUCAUUGAUGGCUUCAGUUCUUAACUUAAAAUAAUGACAGGGACUAAUGGCCAAGAGGAUUUCCCAGCAUUCCUGGGGAGGCCUGGCAUGGCAGGUCCCACCUGUAGUCCUACCACUCAAGAGGCAGGGGAAUCCCAGCAAGUUUGAGACCAGUCAGGUUUACAGAGAAAGUUCCAGGCUCAGCAAGACCACAUAUUUUUUUUUUUGUCUCCAAAAAAUAAAUAAGCUACCAUUCUGCA
rnacentral:lncRNA from 1 species